CCGCCGGGCGCGGUGGCGCGUGCCUGUAGUCCCAGCUACUCGGGAGGCUGAGGCUGGAGGAUCGCUUGAGUCCAGGAGUUCUGGGCUGUAGUGCGCUAUGCCGAUCGGGUGUCCGCACUAAGUUCGGCAUCAAUAUGGUGACCUCCCGGGAGCGGGGGACCACCAGGUUGCCUAAGGAGGGGUGAACCGGCCCAGGUCGGAAACGGAGCAGGUCAAAACUCCCGUGCUGAUCAGUAGUGGGAUCGCGCCUGUGAAUAGCCACUGCACUCCAGCCUGGGCAACAUAGCGAGACCCCGUCUCU
rnacentral:SRP_RNA from 10 species